AUGAGGAGCUGGGUACGCUGUAGGCUCGGGGAGGCACCGGAGGAUCGAUCGGAGGAGGCCAUGGCGCUCCCUGUGAAUCAGCAACACGAAGAGAGGGAUAGGUCAGCGGAGAGAAGAACUAGGGGAAGGAAGGGAAAGGAAAAGGAGGGGGCGCUCAUCUCUGUGUUUGUAGGUUCGGUCGCCGCUGGCAGACGGGAACGGCGGCUCCCUCGGGCUCGGGGACGAGCUCGCCUCGAUCUGGAUCGAGGCCAGCUGCGGGGCACGGGGCAUUGGGGAAACUGGGGCGCAAGGGAGGCUGUUGGAUCAAUGAUCUGA
rnacentral:rRNA from 1 species